AAGUGAAAUUGUCCUUGUUUACAGAGGACAUAAUAUUAUAUACUGAAAAAACCUGGCAACCCCCUUUGGGUCCCCUCCCAUUUUAUGGGAGCUCUGUUUUCACUCUAUUAAAUCUUGCAACUGCACACUCUUCUGGUCUAUGUUUGUUAUGGCUUGAGCUGAGCUAUCGCUUGCCAUUCACCACGUCUGACUCUGUCCUAUCCUUCCUUAGAAUUGGAGGAAAAUACCAGGUGCCUGUCAGCUGGUUAAAAACGAUUAGUGUGGCCACUGGACUUAAGACUCAGGUGUGAGGCUGUCUGGGAAAGGGCUUUCUAACAACCCCAGCCUUUUAUGGGUUGGGAGUGUUGGUCUGCCUGGAACCAGCUUCUGCUUUCAAUAUUCCUGGGGAAGUCAAGGGUGGACUAGAGGCAGAAAGCUGACGUCCCAAACUGCUGGCAUUAGCCAGUUGAGAUCAUGGCACAGCCAGAAGUCUCUACUCA
rnacentral:lncRNA from 1 species